rnacentral:rRNA from 1 species
GAUGAACGCUAGCUACAGGCUUAACACAUGCAAGUCGAGGGGCAUCACGGUGUAGCAAUACACUGGUGGCGACCGGCGCACGGGUGAGUAACACGUAUCCAACCUUCCCUUUACUCCGGGAUAGCCCAUCGAAAGAUGGAUUAACACCGGAUGGUUUCGCGGGAUUGCAUGAUAUCGCGAAUAAAGUUUACGGUAAAGGAUGGGGAUGCGUUCCAUUAGCUUGUGGCGGGU